CAGCAGCCGCGGUAAUACGUAGGGUGCAAGCGUUAAUCGGAAUUACUGGGCGUAAAGCGUGCGCAGGCGGUUCGUUAAGACAGAUGUGAAAUCCCCUGGCUUAACCUGGGAACUGCAUUUGUGACUGGCGGGCUAGAGUAUGGCAGAGGGGGAUGGAAUUCCGCGUGUAGCAGCGAAAUGCGUAGAUAUAUGGAGGAACACCGAUGGCGAAGGCAGCCCCCUGGGCCAAUACUGACGCUCAUGCACGAAAGCGUGGGGAGCAAACAGGAUUAGAUACCCCUGUAGUCCCUGUCUCUUAUAC
rnacentral:rRNA from 1 species